rnacentral:rRNA from 1 species
GACGAACCGUACGAACGUUAUUCGGAAUCACUGGGCUUAAAGGGUGCGUAGGCGGCGCGACAAGUUGGGUGUGAAAUCCCUCGGCUCAACCGAGGAACUGCGCCCAAAACUGUCGUGCUUGAGGGAGACAGAGGUGAGCGGAACUUAGGGUGGAGCGGUGAAAUGCGUUGAUAUCCUAAGGAACACCGGUGGCGAAAGCGGCUCACUGGGCCACAACUGACGCUGAGGCGCGAAAGCUAGGGGAGCAAACAGG